rnacentral:lncRNA from 1 species
UUUAAUAAACGCUUCCGCCUAGUGGUCUGCCUGCGCGGAAAGGAUUGCCGAUUGGAGUUUCAACCGACGUGUCGAGACUCCGAAAUAUUCCUAAUAUUAACCAGGUUGCUCUGCUCCACAAAUGCUGAUUUUUAUGUAAGUUACUGCGACUCUCCUGCUGCUGCUGUAGCGCCCUUAACUGUCGACGGCAACUCACUGGAAAUAUGGCCGCGCCUUAUAGCAACAGGAUUUUUAAUCUAAGAGACUAGUAGUUAAAAAGAUUGUCCAAUCCAGAUGCGGUCACAGACUGUGGCGGAUUCUGGGACGGAUCGCAGAUUGGGCGGCUCGCAGGCCGGGAACAAGGCCUGGUUGUAUAUUGCGGUGGGUUCCGACGACUUGUUUUGCUUGUGGGUGAGCUCACCGGGGGUAUCACGCAUGUAAUAGUGCGCUUACUAAGUCCUCUGCGGACGCUCGCUAAAGGCGAUACUUCCCCGACUAAUCCGGCUUGUGCUGUCGCGGGCAGCAGACUUAGGAAAUUAACUAGUGUCUGCUGAGUCUGUAACUGUACACAUUGGCACUGUCACAAUUAGGAUACCUGAUCCUGAUAGCUGUACCACUGCUGUUUGUGUUUGGUAAAGGUGACAACUCAGCUGACGUACCUAACGGCUUUCCGUUGGCCCAUGCCCCACAGGGUCGUUCGUCCAACUACAUUAACAAACUUAC